GAUGAACGCUAGCGGCAGGCUUAAUACAUGCAAGUCGAGGGGCGGCAUGAAUGUAGCAAUACAUUUGAUGGCGACCGGCAAACGGGUGCGGAACACGUACACAACCUUCCUAUAAGUGGGGAAUAGCCCAGAGAAAUUUGGAUUAAUACCCCGUAACAUAAUGAUGUGGCAUCACAUUAUUAUUAUAGCUACGGCGCUUAUUGAUGGGUGUGCGGCUGAUUAGAUAGUUGGCGGGGUAACGGCCCACCAAGUCUACGAUCAGUAGCUGAUGUGAGAGCAUGAUCAGCCACACGGGCACUGAGACACGGGCCCGACUCCUACGGGAGGCAGCAGUAAGGAAUAUUGGUCAAUGGACGCAAGUCUGAACCAGCCAUGCCGCGUGAAGGAUUAAGGUCCUCUGGAUUGUAAACUUCUUUUAUCUGGGACGAAAAAAGGCUAUUCUUAGUCACUUGACGGUACCAGAUGAAUAAGCACCGGCUAACUCCGUGCCAGCAGCCGCAGUAA
rnacentral:rRNA from 1 species